rnacentral:rRNA from 1 species
CCUACGGGAGGCAGCAGUGGGGAAUAUUGCGCAAUGGACGAAAGUCUGACGCAGCGACGCCGCGUGAGGGAUGAAGGUUUUCGGAUCGUAAACCUCUGUCAGGAGGGAAGAAAGCGUAUGGCGCCAAUCAGCCAUGCGUUGACGGUACCUCCAAAGGAAGCGCCGGCUAACUCCGUGCCAGCAGCCGCGGUAAU